CCCACCCUGGCUGCAGGAAAUGCGGUUAUCCAGUCACUGGCUGCAUUUGGUCUUCCCCUUAUGACAACAGUAUCCGCUGUAUGGAAACCCAGAUUGCAUUAGCAAAGUUAUAGAAAAGCCAGCAAAGCCAUGACACAUCUGCGUUCAGCUCCCUCAUGCACGGUUACUGAACUUAAAUUCUUUUGCUGUCUGUCAGAGCACGGCCUCAGCAGUGCAGCAGAAAACACCAGCAGCUCCACAGGAAGAGAAGCACGGGGCCACAGCUUACUCCAGCCUCGGAUGCCUGCACAUAGAUCUCUUCUGAGCCCAAGAUGAGCUUUCACCCACAAUGCACAUUUGUGGUUCUUCCAGGAGGUCUCUGUAGCAGCAUUAUGCAGUGCUGGAGGGUUUCAUUUCAUUUCUCUAUACAGCUGUAAAAGGUUUCUCGGAAACCAGAGAUCGUUGCAUUUGACUUGAGUUUGCUUGUCUGCCAGAGGCUGUUUCAAGUUACUCUUUGUAGCCAUACUGAAUGAAUCCCGAGGUGAGAAGGAGGCAGCAACAACAAGUGCUCUUUAUCCUUGUUUAGAAGUCACUGCUUCUAAUUACGUUCCCUCCUUGUAAUCAUUAAUAUCAAGAAAAUGAGGUCAACCUCUAUUAAAUGCAAUGACUUUGCCUGCGGAGUUGGCGAUGAAAGCAGCUUCACAAUAAAGGUUUCCAUUUAGGGGGAAGCUUCUGUUUCAAGAAGUCCCCUAACCCAGUGCAGCGGCUUCAUUUUUCAUGUGCUGGUUGUAACAAAACACAGAGACUAGGGCUGAGAUUUUAAUCAGCAAAAACCCAGGAAAAACAGAAGAGUAAAAUCUAAACAUGCAAAUUAAGAAUACAAGAAUACCAAAAGACAAGUUGCUGCAGGUCUGGCAAGCAAAACCUUAAUUGGCAGAGAUGACUGAGAGCUGCACCCCCGAACCAACUCGGGGUCAUCAUAAGCAACAGCUGCAUGCAGCAAGAGGCAAGCAAGAGCAGCAGGUUUGCCUCAUUUACCUGUAGGAGCUCAUUUUGAGAUGUGAAAGACUACUGGCUGUGUAGCAGCACUGCUUUCUGCCUGGUAGAGGAGUGCAGUCCUGUCCCAUUGGCAUGAAAAGCAGGAGGUCUGGGCUCAAGAAUUUUCCAGCUAACCCAGCAGCAAAGGGGGCCCCUUACUAACACUGGUUUGGCCCCUUCUGCAUCAGCUCCAAUGUGCUGCCAGUGCUGGACAUUGCUUGGCACAGUGCAGUGCAGAGGAUCUGGUCCGCCAGGAGCAGGACUCGCCUCUUGUUGGAGCAGUCAGGAAUGUGGAUGAAAUGGUGACCAUUCCCCAUCACAGCAGAACACUUCUAUGACUCUGCAGACUGUAUUUACAGCCAGAAUGGAAUGUGUUCUGGGAAGAAACAGCAGAAAGGCUAGGAGUCGUAUAUUGAACUUCAUGUCUUUACCCUUGCUGUGAAGACGGUCCUUCCACACUGAGUGACGAUGCCUUGUAAGUAGCAGUGCUUUUGCUGUACUGUACUUCUGUCUGAUUUGUGCCUCAUAGUGGUUGGCUUUCCCUUCUCUUCGUUGUUGGUGAUCUUCCAAGGAGCACAGGCAGCACCUGGGUUCUGUGCGUGCCAGCACCUUUGCAUGCAGUUAUGCAUGCACAGUUCCACUGAGAGCAAGAGGAUUAGCUUUUGCUUUGCAAGAAUCUGAAUGGAAAUGAAGCUGCAGAACAGGUUCCCUGUACCCCAUAUUUUCAACAAACCAGAUCUCCGAUUCUGCUUGUGGAGAAAAAUCAAAAGGCCUUUUGUGCUCUGCCAGUGAGAAUCCAAUAUCUGCGUGUUUGCCCCACCAGUACUUCCUUGGCUGGAGGCUCCCUUUAUCACCAUGUGGGCCACCAGCACUGCUUUUAGGAGACUGCUAAUGCUGUAUCACCGCAGUCUGUAAGGCAGCAGAUUUGUGCAGUCCUGCCAUACAAAUUGUCUCCACCUAUCCUAUGC